GUCAGCUGUUGUCUUUGCGCUGGUGGGGAGGGCUGCCCUUCCCCAUGCGGCACCCCCGCGCUCCGCUCUUCUGCUCCCACCUGUGCCUGGCAGGCAUGCGGCGGCGUCGCGGUUCGUCCAGGCGUUGCGUUUGCCUGUAUCUGUCCUUGCUGGAGCAGCGACCCGCCUGGAAGUGGGGAGCUGGGUGUGUGUGAGAGGUCCUUCGCGGGGGCUCAGGCAGGAAGGUGACAGUCAUCACUUUUCCCAGAAUGUCUGCCAGUGUUUGGAAGUAGUCGCGCAUCGUAACUGGGCUUUUUUUUGUUGUUGUCCCUUUUUUAAAGUAGCUUUCCCCACUCCCACUCCUGGGGACUCUGGAAGGUGGAGACAUAUAUCUGCCCACUGUUGUCUCAGUGCUGACCUGUGGUGAGGGAUGGGACUGUGCCUGAAGCUUCGGCGCUGGCCUGGUCCACCUCCUGCCAUCGCGUGCUUGAGUUCAGAGUUGUCUGUGACCCACCCGUGGAUUGGGCCUGCCCCAGGCCAGUGUCUGCCCAGGAGAGGGCAUCUGAGUCCCAGGGGCAGGGAACUGGGGCCAGCAUGACAAAGGGUACUUAGUGCUAGGGCUCCUCUCCCGCCAAAGUCCAGUCCUGCUGUGUGCCCUGUUCUGCCCUGGGAGAGGAGGUCCUCCUACGCGCAGGAAGGGACGGGGGUGUUGUCCUGCUAUGCAUCCGUCCUGAGCACCAGCUGUAUGUUGGCCCUACAAUGCAAUGAUACUAGGCCACGUUGGACAGUGGCCCGGGAGUCACUGUCCUAUGGCCUAAGGUCUCCCUAGGAUCCUGCUGGGGGCUGUGCUCCAGGUGUGAUGAGGGAGUGGUCCGAGUCACACAGCUGAGACGGCAGUGUCUCAUCCUGAGCCCUCCUGAGGCUGAGGCAAGAUCUGUUUUCCAACCACAGCCAAGUUCAUCAGGUGUUUGCUUGCCGCUUGCCUGGCCAGGGAUCAUCAAGGAGGAACAGGGUGAGUCACGGCCAGAGGCUGGUCUGCCCCUCUUCCAGUGGCUCCAGAAGCUCCCAGACCUUUCCCCCUGAAUAAUAAGGAGGCACCUUCUCCUGGCCAACGUGUGGAGGGGGAGGAGUCAGGACUUCCCCCUCCUAGGGCGAGGGUGAGAAGGCCAUUUCCCUUCUGGGGGCAGGCAGAGCCUCAUUCAUCUGUGGCCUCCUUCCAGCCCAGUUCCUGGCGGGGGACCAAGGAUCAAUAAAUGUUUGCUGAAUUCAUAUGCACGGUCAGGUGAUCUGCCUGCCCCUGUGGGUGGCUCAGCCAUUUGGAGCCCUGUGAGUCUGGGUUCCUCUGUCUUGCCUGUGGGGUCAGGGUCUGGGGACCAGACAAUGACAGCAAAUCAUACGGGCUUGAAAUCUGGAGAAAGAAUUGUCCCCAUGGUGACAGAAGUCAGUCUGGCCAGGCCUGUGAAACUCCAGCCACUUGGGAAUUUGGGUUGGGGGAGGGGCUGAGGCUGCCUGAAGCCCUGGCUUGUGAGAGGUGAGGCCUUAGCUCCCCCAGCAGAGCUCCUGUGUUCUCCUGAUUAUCUCCAGGCCCCAGCAGCCUCUCCCCUCCCUGGGCCCACCCUGGCACGCCCUGGCUUCAGGACCUGCUCCAGUUCCCUGGGGAGGAAGCUAAGCCCAAAGGGUUCUGCAGCUGUACCUGGGCGCUCUCUGCUCCGUGGCGUCCUGCGGAAUGUACCCAUCUUGGGAUGCACCCACGGGCUAGGAAGCAGGCCCCAAGAUUGACAGCCUCCCGGAAGGCUCCCAAGACCCCCCUUCUGGUGCUCAGCCUUGUGAACGCAUGUAUGGAGGCUGGCCCGUGACCAGUAGGGUCCUGCAGAAAAUGAGGCUGCAGGGACAUCCUGGUCUGGCCCUCUCUGCCGGUCACAUCUGUCACUCUAGGGGAGGCCAGCUGUCCUCUGCUGUGGAGAGGCCAGCAGAGUGUGGAGCUGAGAAGCAGGUCCUCCAGCCCCGUUGAGCCUUCAGGUGAGGCCCCAGCUUGCUGCCAACAUCUCGACUGCAACCUCGUGAGAGGCCCUGAGCUAGAACCACCCAGCUGAGCAGCUCCUGGACUCCUAGCCCUCAGAAACUGCAUGAGAUAAUAAAUGUUUGUUGUUUUAAACUGCUAAAUCUUAGGUUAAUUUGUUGUGCAGCUAUAAAUAAGUUUUAUGUAAAAGUUAAAAUAAAUAUUAGUAACAAUA